GAUAAACGCUGGCGGCGUGCCUAAUGCAUGCAAGUCGAACGGUUUAGUGCUUUCGGGCACUAAAUAGUGGCAAACGGGUGAGUAACACGUGGGAAUCUGCCCGAGAGUGGGGAACAACUCCUCGAAAGAGGAGCUAAUACCGCAUACGGUCACCUGGUGAAACGGGAGGACUAAAGCUUUAAGAAAUUAAGGCGCUUUUGGAGGAGCCUGCGGCUGAUUAGCUAGUUGGUGGGGUAAAGGCCUACCAAGGCGAUGAUCAGUAGCUGGUCUGAGAGGAUGGACAGCCACACUGGGACUGCGAUACGGCCCAGACUCCUACGGGAGGCAGCAGCAAGGAAUUUUCGUCAAUGGGGGCAACCCUGAACGAGCAACGCCG
rnacentral:rRNA from 1 species